rnacentral:rRNA from 1 species
GAGUUUGAUCCUGGCUCAGAAUGAACGUUGGCAGCGUGGAUUAGGCAUGCAAGUCGAGCGACAAGUCUUCCUUCGGGGAGAUGGAGGAGCGGCUAACGGGGUAGUAAGGCAUCGGAACGUACCUUUUCGUCUGGGAUAGCCAUGGGAAACUGUGAGUAAUACCGGAUAAUAUCUUCGGAUCAAAGGUUUACUGCGAUUAGAGCGGCCGAUGUGAGACUAGGUAGUUGGUAGGGUAAUGGCCUACCAAGCCAGAGAUCUCUAGGGGGUGUGAGAGCAUGACCCCCACCACUGGAACUGAGACACUGUCCAGACACCUACGGGUGGCUGCAGUCGAGAAUCUUCGGCAAUGGGCGAAAGCCUGACCGAGCGACGCUGCGUGCGGGAUGAAGGCCCUUGGGUUGUAAACCGCUGUCAGAGGGGAUCAAAGGAAACUUGAGAGAGCCUCAGAGGAAGCGCGGGCUAAGUUCGUGCCAGCAGCCGCGGUAAUAAGGGCGA